rnacentral:rRNA from 1 species
GAGUUUGAUCAUGGCUCAGAUUGAACGCUGGCGGCAGGCCUAACACAUGCAAGUCGAGCGGAUGACGGGAGCUUGCUCCUUGAUUCAGCGGCGGACGGGUGAGUAAUGCCUAGGAAUCUGCCUGGUAGUGGGGGACAACGUUUCGAAAGGAACGCUAAUACCGCAUACGUCCUACGGGAGAAAGCAGGGGACCUUCGGGCCUUGCGCUAUCAGAUGAGCCUAGGUCGGAUUAGCUAGUUGGUGGGGUAAGUGGCUCACCAAGGCGACGAUCCGUAACUGGUCUGAGAGGAUGAUCAGUCACACUGGAACUGAGACACGGUCCAGACUCCUACGGGAGGCAGCAGUGGGGGAAUAUUGGACAAUGGGCGAAAGCCUGAUCCAGCCAUGCCGCGUGUGUGAAGAAGGUCUUCGGAUUGUAAAGCACUUUAAGUUGGGAGGAAGGGCAGUAAGUUAAUACCUUGCUGUUUGACGUUACCGACAGAAUAAGCACCGGCUAACUCUGUGCCAGCAC